GGCCGCACUAGUGAUUAGAGUUUGAUCCUGGCUCAGGAUGAACGCUGGCGGCGUGCCUAAUACAUGCAAGUCGAGCGAACAGAUAAGGAGCUUGCUCCUUUGACGUUAGCGGCGGACGGGUGAGUAACACGUGGGUAACCUACCUAUAAGACUGGAAUAACUCCGGGAAACCGGGGCUAAUGCCGGAUAAUAUUUAGAACCGCAUGGUUCUAAAGUGAAAGAUGGUUUUGCUAUCACUUAUAGAUGGACCCGCGCCGUAUUAGCUAGUUGGUGGGGUAAUGGCUUACCAAGGCAACGAUACGUAGCCGACCUGAGAGGGUGAUCGGCCACACUGGAACUGAGACACGGUCCAGACUCCUACGGGAGGCAGCAGUAGGGAAUCUUCCGCAAUGGGCGAAAGCCUGACGGAGCAACGCCGCGUGAGUGAUGAAGGUCUUCGGAUCGUAAAACUCUGUUAUUAGGGAAGAACAAAUGUGUAAGUAACUGUGCACGUCUUGACGGUACCUAAUCAGAAAGCCACGGCUAACUACGUGCCAGCAGCCGCGGUAAUACGUAGGUGGCAAGC
rnacentral:rRNA from 1 species